CACUUAAAAAGUUGUGCUGUGGAUCCCGUACUAACUAUAUUCAGCAAGAACGAGUAACAUUGAGGCUCUUAUUGAUUCGACAAAGCAAAUAGCGGCGCAUUUUAACUACUACUAGCACUGCUAGCCACAACUCAAGUGUAGUGCACACUUAGUUACGACUUGGUAAACCACGCGCGAAACAUUUCAAACCACCGCAAACGAAAAGAAAAAUGCAGCUUAAGAUUAAAUAAAUUACUUACACGGCUUAGCCAUUUCUCUUAAUUAA